UACGUAGGUGGCAAGCGUUGUCCGGAUUUACUGGGCGUAAAGAGCGCGCAGGCGGUCGUUCAAGUCGCGUGUGAAAGCCCCCGGCUCAACUGGGGAGGGUCACGCGAUACUGAUCGACUCGAAGGCAGGAGAGGGUAGUGGAAUUCCCGGUGUAGUGGUGAAAUGCGUAGAUAUCAGGAGGAACACCCGUGGUGCAGACGGCUUGCUGGACCUCCACUGACGCUGAGGCACGAAAGCGUGGGGAGCAAACAGG
rnacentral:rRNA from 1 species